GAAAAAAGCAACAGAACUAAUACAAUUUAUCUCUCCGAGUUAAGCAAGACAAAUGUUCUCCCGAGAAAGGCUGAGCUUUCUGAGGACGUGCACGCUUGUGGGGGUAUUUUAGGUACCAAACUCAACCCAUGUGGCAGCCUGCCCUCUUUAAGGAUGCUGACUGUGCACAAAUGGCUGCUCCCUUUUUAGGAGCUUCAGGCAGAACCUUCCUGAUGCAUUGAAAAAAGGAAAAUACUUGACAAGAUGUAGGAUGACAGUCAGUUCAUCUUCUGCAGCAACACUGUUUUGUGCACCUCUGAGAAAUCCCCGCGAUGCUGCUGUUCUGUCCUCCUUGUCUCGAGUGCCGUUGCUGGUGGUUGCACACUGUUGGAAAGUGCUGUCAGUCUUGGUUCUCACGUCUCAGCUUCAAUUAAUUUUCGCAGUAAAUGAGAAUCAUUGUCCUGCUUCUGGGAGGCUCCAGGCUGAGCUCCAUGUGACCUAGAGCUCCUGAUCUGUGAAAGAUGUCUGGAUUUUCCCUCCAGUCCAGGAAUCUGCAGCUGUAAAACGAAUUUUUAAAAGUGAUUUAUUUCCAACCACCUGCUUGCUAAUGCCAUUUUAGCACCCACAGGAAGCUACUGGAGAUGCUGGCAUAUAGAUCUGGUUUGUACCACGGUGUCAGGUCAAACAAGGAACCGCCACAGUGUUUCAGCCUUUUUCCUGGCCAGCGAAGGAAAACUGCUGCUUCCACUAAUGUCUGGGUGAUUUUACCUCCGGCAUCUAUCUUGAAAGCUGUCUGCAGAAGCAAUAGUGGAGGAAAAUUAAGGAUAUUGUCAUUCCUGAGUCUACAUUUGGGUUUUCAGAUUAGCAAGUAUUUAAACUAGCAGUGUUUCGCAGAUAAUGAGGGAUAGCACUUAUAAUUAGCAUUUCACUUCAUAACAAGUGAUGAGCUACGUGCCCAAUGUUCCCAGAGUUCAGAGAAACUUCAAGUUCCAGCCUGGCAAGUCGAUAUCUCCAACAGAUUAAGAAAAGCAUGCCAGCUGGCAAUUAGAGCUUCGGGCCCUGGUCACAGCAACAUCUGCUCUCCUUACCGUGUGCUUCAGUUCUCACGUAAUGGUGCGUGGCUUUCUCUCAGUUCAGAAAUCAUUCAAGCGUGUAACAGAUAGAAAUCAGUGCGUUGGAACCUCCUGCGUAGGCUGAUACCUUGUCAAGAAGUCGUCGAGUCACUUCUUCAAGUCACUGAAGAUUUCUUUCCUGAUGAUGGUCCCGACGGUGACUAAAUCACGCAGCAUCUUUUCAGUUGUCUGUCCUUAGCAGUGAGAAGCAGAACACAGAAACGGAGCCACAGGAAAGCGUGUGCUUUGUCUGCUGUUCCCUAUUUCACGCAUCCUGUUGCUAAUUUUAUUGUCAGUAUGAGUGAACUGCUGUUACUGCUGGAUUUGGGGUUUUUUUUUUGUUUGCUUGUUUUGUCUUGUUUUAAAAUCUGUUCAUUGCUGCACCUUGCUGUAAGAUUUAGGAGAAAACAGUACUUUAGGUGCUGUAGAUGUGGAUAAAAUUACGCUAAAAGCGCCAAUAAAAGUUCCUACUAAUACAGUUAGGAAGAUAUGUAUCAAUACUAAAAGUGAUGGAUAAUAACAUUAUACUUCAAAUAUAUCAAAGUUUAAUUCCUUGAUUUUGCUGCUUAAAUAACGUCACCUGACUUAUCAAGAAAUCAAAGAGUCUUUAUUUCCUCGCUCAAGGAAACUCAAGAUUUCACAGUCUUGAAAGUGUUCAGGGCCAGGCUGGAUGGGGCUUUGAGCAGCCUGGUCUGGUGGGAGGUGUCCCUGCCCAGGGCAGGGGGGUUGGAACGAGAUGGUCUUUAAGGUCCUUUCCAACCCAAACCAUUCUGUGAUUCUAUGAUUCUAUAGGCUCGCAUAUUAGCGCUGCAGAAAGCAGCAUCACUUUUGUAGCAACUUUCCAGGCAAGCCUUGAGGAACUGGUUCAACCCUAUUUUUGACCUCGUCACUUUCCCACUGGUUGUCCCACAUCUCUUCCAGAACUACGUUGCUUCUUUCAGAUUUAGGUUUUGGUUUGUUUUUUUUUCAACAGUUCCAUUAUUAGUGUGGAAAUCGGCUAAAAUGAAUAAGACCGUGCAAGCAGGCAUCUCUUCCUGUUUUGCCACGAGCCACACAGCCCUCCUUCUUCUAGAAUAGGAAUGAGAAGGCUUAUCGUGAGAAACUUGUUCAAUGGAGAGUUAGCAAAUUUUCUAUUCCUUACUAUAAUUCAUACAGGCAGUAAUUACAACUGUCCAUCGUUUACACAGUGCUUGUGAAAUCACUCCUCGUGAUUUCAGAGUAGCGCUUAGAUAGCAGUGGAAUUUCAGGGAAGAUGUAAACAAAUCCUCCAAGCGGGCUUACAGUUGUAUGACCUUCGAGGACUUUGCCUUCUGCUGACCUUAAACUCAUCAACCCUAAAGGGGUAACUGCAGAGGACACUGGCAAAUCUGGUGGCAUCGGACUUUUACAGGUAGCGUCACUACUAGUCGCUGAGGAAUUAAGUAAUCCAGUCGGCUCACUCAACCUUGUCUUUCAUUGCCAUUUGUAGUGAAUUGGGGCUUUAUGGCACUAAAUCGCUGGCAGAAGUCGAAAAGUUUAAGUUUGCAUUAAGGCUUUAGGGCAACACAGAGAAAACAGGAAUAAAAUAAAAUUCUUGAAACUGCAAUGGUUUAAUGUAUCCCUAAAAUCAAAACACAAUGAAACAAACAUUAAAUAAUUCUGGAUGGAGGAUGCAUCUGGGGAAGCAUUUUAGAUUUUAGCAUUUUUCUUAUUAAAAAAAAUGCAAAAACAAAACUAGAGAGAGGCAGUGUAUUCCUACGUAUGUGACUGCUGUGGUCAGCACUGGGGGAAACCAGUAUGAACGAUAUUUCAGUGGAAGAUGGCUGGAAAAACAGCUCUUCCCUUGCAGAUUUCAACUUGUGCUUGUCUUUAGGCAGUAACCGAGACCAGGGAACUUGUACUACUUUGUCCUGGGCUGACAUGGUUGCCCAUGUAACCUCACCAGCAUCCUUUGAAGUAAUCAGCAGCCUAGCCGAGGCUGCUCAGCUUAUACGUGAAGGUACGUGUAUAGAGCUAGCAUAUAUAUCUACUCUUUCCCCAUGGAACAGCCCUGAGUACACGCUGCAAGGAAAACGGGGCUCACUCAACACAGGGAUGAAUGCGAUAUGGAUGAUAGACUAGGUUAAUAUAGAUAGAGACAAUAUUUGUUGCUGGCAGGCUAAGUAGCAAAUGGAAUUAGAAACACCUAUAUGUCACGUACACGCAUCUCUCCUCAGAUUGUUGUUCUGCUGAUAGAAACUGCUUGUAUUUGAGAUGGGGUGCAGA